AGUGAACGCUGGCGGCGUGCUUAACACAUGCAAGUCGAACGAGAACGGAAUAUAGCUUGCUAUAUUUGUCAGCUAAGUGGCGCACGGGUGAGUAAUGUAUAGAUAACCUGCCCUUAAGAAAGGAAUAACAGUUGGAAACGACUGCUAAUGCCCUAUAUGCCUUUAAUACAUAAGUAUGCAAGGGAAACGCUUUAGUGCUUAAGGAUGGGUCUGUAUGGUAUCAGCUUGUUGGUGAGGUAAUGGCUCACCAAGGCUAUGACGCCUAACUGGUUUGAGAGGAUGAUCAGUCACACUGGAACUGAGACACGGUCCAGACUCCUACGGGAGGCAGCAGUGGGGAAUAUUGCACAAUGGACGAAAGUCUGAUGCAGCAACGCCGCGUGGAGGAUGACACAUUUCGGUGCGUAAACUCCUUUUAUAUAGGAAGAUAAUGACGGUACCAACUGAAUAAGGACCUGCUAAUCUCGUGCCAGCCGCCGCCGUAACAC
rnacentral:rRNA from 1 species